UACGUAGGGUGCGAGCGUUAAUCGGAAUUACUGGGCGUAAAGCGUGCGCAGGCGGUUGUGCAAGACAGAUGUGAAAUCCCCGGGCUCAACCUGGGAGCUGCAUUUGUGACUGCACGGCUGGAGUGCGGCAGAGGGGGAUGGAAUUCCGCGUGUAGCAGUGAAAUGCGUAGAUAUGCGGAGGAACACCGAUGGCGAAGGCAGCCCCCUGGGUCGACACUGACGCUCAGGCACGAAAGCGUGGGGAGCAAACAGG
rnacentral:rRNA from 1 species